AUUGAACGCUGGCGGCAGGCCUAACACAUGCAAGUCGAGCGGAGCGGCGGACGGGUGAGUAAUGCCUAGGAAUCUGCCUGGUAGUGGGGGAUAACGUCCGGAAACGGGCGCUAAUACCGCAUACUAUCAGAUGAGCCUAGGUCGGAUUCGCUAGUUGGUGGGGUAAAGGCCUACCAAGGCGACGAUCCGUAACUGUUCUGAGAGGAUGAUCAGUCACACGGGAACUGAGACACGGCCCAGACUACUAAGGGAGGCAGCAGUGGGGAAUAUUGCACAAUGGGCGCAAGCCUGAUGCAGCCAUGCCGCGGGUAUGAAGAAGGCCUUAGGGUUGUAAAGUACUUUGAGCGGGGAGGCGUUACCCGCAGAAGAAGCACAGGCUAACUCCGUGCCAGCAGCCGCGGUAAUUC
rnacentral:rRNA from 1 species